UUAACUGUACAUUAAGGAAACGCCGAAUAUCAACAAACACGGUAAAGAAUGUCAGAUCAACAACAGGUAAAGUUUUCGAAAGAAUGUCCUGGUAGUAUUAUGCUUAUGCUUGAAAGAUGUUUUUUUUUGCUUUCCGAAGUUCAGUUCUUGUUUACUUUUGCAGGUACAGAAACCAGACGGAGGAGACUCCGGUUCAGAAUACAUAAAAUUGAAAGUAGUUGGUCAGGAUAGUAAUGAAAUUCACUUCAGAGUAAAGAUGACAACACAAAUGGGAAAAUU